rnacentral:rRNA from 1 species
UACGGAGGGGGCUAGCGUUGUUCGGAAUUACUGGGCGUAAAGCGCACGUAGGCGGCUCUUUAAGUCAGGGGUGAAAUCCUGGAGCUCAACUCCAGAACUGCCUUUGAUACUGAGGAUCUUGAGUUCGGGAGAGGUGAGUGGAACUGCGAGUGUAGAGGUGAAAUUCGUAGAUAUUCGCAAGAACACCAGUGGCGAAGGCGGCUCACUGGCCCGAUACUGACGCUGAGGCACGAAAGCGUGGGGAGCAAACAGG